GGCAGUGGUGUCUUAGUGGUUAAAGGUUCUGGGUUACUGAACGGAAGGUCGGGAGUUCAAGCCCCAUCACUGCCA